UUGGUGAAGCGGAGGGACAUUAGAGAGUGCCCUACUCCCAAAAACCCACUGUGAACUUACCUGUACGUUGCCUCGGCGGGGGGGGAGGGGCUGGCCACCCCCCCCCUUCCCGCCAGGCGGCCCAACCAAAAACACUGUUUCGCCCUGAAUCUCUAAAAAACCAUACAAACAAGUUAAAACUUUCAACAACGGAUCUCUUGGCUCUGGCAUCAAUGAAAAACGCAGCGAAAUGCGAUACGUAGUGUGAAUUGCAAAAUUUAGUGAAUCAUCAAAUCUUUAAACGCACUUUGCGCCCGCCAGUAUUCUGGCGGGCAUGCCUGUUCAAGCGCCAUUUCAACCCCUUAACCCCCCGUCGCUUAGUGUUGGGAGCCUACGGCGUCCUGCCGUCGCUCCUCAAAUCCAGUGGCGGAGCCGGCCUCGUGCUCUAGGCGUAGUAAAUUAUCCCUUCUCGCCUGCAGCCGGGGCCGGCCUCCCUGCCGUAAAACAAACCACUUAGUACCAAAAGGUUGACCUCGAAUCAGGUAGGAAUACCCGCUGAACUUAAGCUUAUCAAUAGGCCGCAAGAAGAAAUAGGA
rnacentral:rRNA from 1 species